CUUUAAUUCAAAGGGAAUCCAACACAUUUAUUUUUAAUUAUUUCGAUUCUCACCACUUAAAUUACAACUUUUACCUGGUCUGGUACGCCCUUUCGUCCCAGUUGCCUAUUCAGCAUCAUUAUCAUCAUCAUCGUCAUCAAUGCAAUUAUUGAGAACAAAGCUCUCGGCGCAGAGCCAAAAUCCCAGCCAGAGGGCUAACCCAAUUCAAAUAUGUGCGAAAAGGCAUCGUGUUCAAAGUCAGUGAGAAGAGCAAAAAUCGAGAAAGGCGAGAAGAGGAAGAGGAUUAACUAACACACAAAAGCAACAGCUAUGGAGCAAUGGACUAGCAAGCGCACACACACACACACACACACACACAUGACCCUCAUCAGUUCAAAAACUGUGUUGUUAGCUUGGCCAGCAGACCAGCAAUUACCCUCCCCCGACUCUAUGCCCAGUCCCAGUCCCCUUCCCAUUCCCAGAACCAGCCCACCACCACCGACCUGACACACAACGCACAGCCUCGACCAUUUGGAAAAACCCUCGAGCAUUCAGACAAAACACUCCGCGGACUCUCGACAGGCAGCGACGCCACGACGAUGCGCGUUAUCCCCCACUCUGCCAAAACAGAAGCUGGAGCUAAAACUGGAGCUGGAGCUGUAGCUGUAGAUGAAACUGAAGCUUGGUCCUGGGCCUGUUCAUUGCACCGCGCAAAACCGUCAUAACCUAACCAAAAACUACUUGAGGCGACUUUUUGCACUCAUUUCGCACGUACAAACAAUGAACGAAGGCAACAACGAAUAAGGACCAUAGCAGCAAGAAAACUGGCUGACAAGUACAACUGGACAACUCAGCCCAAAGCGAUUAAUUAAAUUUGAAUCCAAACAAUCAGAUUAUCCCAGUACAUGUGAGAAUCUAUUAGGGAAUAGAGAAGAACAUCUGCUAGGAUUCG